rnacentral:piRNA from 1 species
UCUAGGGCACCGCAACAUUUUUGCAA